rnacentral:rRNA from 1 species
GACGAACGCUGGCGGCGUGCCUAAUACAUGCAAGUCGAACGCUUCUUUCCUCCCGAGUGCUUGCACUCAAUUGGAAAGAGGAGUGGCGGACGGGUGAGUAACACGUGGGUAACCUACCCAUCAGAGGGGGAUAACACUUGGAAACAGGUGCUAAUACCGCAUAACAGUUUAUGCCGCAUGGCAUAAGAGUGAAAGGCGCUUUCGGGUGUCGUUGAUGGAUGGACCCGCGGUGCAUUAGCUAGUUGGUGAGGUAACGGCUCACCAAGGCCACGAUGCAUAGGCGGCCUGGAGGGGUGAUCGGCCACACUGGGACUUGAACACGGCCCAGACUCCUACGGGAGGCAGCAGUAGGGAAUCUUCGGCAAUGGACGAAAGUCUGACCGAGCAACGCCGCGUGAGUGAAGAAGGUUUUCGGAUCGUAAAACUCUGUUGUUAGAGAAGAACAAGGACGUUAGUAACUGAACGUCCCCUGACGGUAUCUAACCAGAAAGCCACGGCUAACUACGUG